rnacentral:rRNA from 1 species
AGAGUUUGAUCCUGGCUCAGGAUGAACGCUGGCGGCGUGCCUAACACACGCAAGUCGAACGGAGUUACGAUGAAACCUAGUGAUUCGUAACUUAGUGGCGGACGGGUGAGUAACGCGUGGAUAACCUGCCUUACACUGGGGGAUAACACUUAGAAAUAGGUGCUAAUACCGCAUAAGCGCACAGAGCCGCAUGGCUCAGUGUGAAAAACUCCGGUGGUGUAAGAUGGAUCCGCGUCUGAUUAGCUGGUUGGCGGGGUAGAAGCCCACCAAGGCGACGAUCAGUAGCCGGCCUGAGAGGGUGAACGGCCACAUUGGGACUGAGACACGGCCCAAACUCCUACGGGAGGCGGCAGUGGGGAAUAUUGCACAAUGGAGGAAACCCUGAUGCAGCAACGCCGCGUGAGUGAAGAAGUCAUUCGUGAUGUAAAGCUCUAUCAGCAGGGAAGAAAAUGACGGUACCUGAGUAAGAAGCCCCGGCUAACUACGUG